rnacentral:rRNA from 1 species
CCCUUGUACACACCGCCCGUCACACCAUGGGAGUUGGCUCUACCCGAAGACGGUGUGCUAACCCGAAAGGGAGGCAGCCGGCCACGGUCGGGUCAGCGACUGGGGUG